UACGAAGGGGCUAGCGUUGUUCGGAAUCACUGGGCGUAAAGCGCACGUAGGCGGAUUGUUAAGUCGGGGUGAAUCCUGAGGCUCAACCUCAGAACUGCCUUCGAUACUGGCAUCUCGAGUCCGGAAGAGGUGGUGGAACAGCUAGUGUAGAGGUGAAAUUCGUAGAUAUUAGCUAGAACACCAGUGGCGAAGGCGGCCAA
rnacentral:rRNA from 1 species